UUAGCUCUCUUUGCCUUUUGGCUUAGAUCAAGUGUAGUAUCUGUUCUUUUCAGUUUAAUCUCUGAAACGUCACUACGGUGACAUUCAAGAUUAUUCUUAUUUUUGAAACCGGUCGUCGGCUCCCUGGGCUUGCUCACAGUCGAUGACACAGUGUCGCUCCUAUCGCACUACCUGGAGUGUACGCGACCCUUU
rnacentral:snRNA from 1 species